rnacentral:rRNA from 1 species
AUGAGUGCUAAGAGAAUGAUUUAACAAUUAAUAACUUUCUUUAUUUUAAAAAUUAAAUUUAAUUUUUUUGUGAGGAAGCAAAAAUAAAAAUUAGGGACAAGAAGACCCUAUGAAUUUUAGAUUAAUAUUUAUAUUAGUAAUUAAUUUUAUAUUAAUUUUGUUGGGGCGACAGAAAAAGAAUAACUAUCUUUUAAUAAUAAGUUAAUUUGGAUCCAUUAUUUAGUGAUUUAAUGAAAAAAAUACUCUAGGGAUAACAGCGUAAUAAUUUUGGAUAGUUCUUAUAGAUAAAAUAGUUUGCGACCUCGAUGUUGGAUUAGGAUUCUUUUUUAAUGAAGAAGUUAAAAAAAGAAGUUUGUUCAACUUUUAAACUCCU